GUUUAUAUAGUUUAAAAGAAAACCUUACAUUUUCAUUGUAAAAAUAAAUAAAUUUAUUUUAUAAAUU
rnacentral:tRNA from 1 species